AAAAGAAAAGAAAAGAAAAGAAAAGAAAAGAAAAGAGGAAAACACCAGAGUUACAUGCAAUGAACAGCAGGACAUAAAUAAGAUUAUGCUUACAACAUAGUACAUAAAAUAGCUGAGAAGGGCCGGGUGCUCCUCAGCAGUGUUGCUGCUCCCAGGCCUGUUGAAGGUACUGCUGAACCUUUCCCAGGAACUUGUCUCUGCAUGCUGUGAAGACAACACGCUCUCUGCUGUUUGGAUUAAUGCUACAAGGACCAUGGGAGUUGCUCUUCUGCAGCGCAGGAUUGACUUCUGUAAGAGGAAUCAUUGCGGGGACAGGAUUCAUUCACGAUCCGUAUCCUUCUCCUCUUCACUGGGACAGCGGUUGGCAGCCAGGGGUUGGCAGAUGCUUAUCAAAAUGUCUAUUACUAAACAAAAACUGGCUUUUAGUCUACAUGUGUUUCUAGCUAAUAAGGAACUACCUGUUUGUAUCCUUUCCCCAGAUAAUGCGAAGUUGGUUUAUUUUUCCCAAUUAAUGCAUAGUUCUUUGGAUUAAAAGCAGGCUACGCUGUGUAACCCUCCUGCCAAGUACUUAAACUCCUAAUUAACUGGUCCUCUUAGGACUUGGUUCUUUUCUAUGAGCAAUGCCAGUAUUGCUAAAAUUUGUAGUGUGGUCAAGAAUAGACUAUGCUUUCUGCUUGGCACUUCCAGGAACACUUUGUUCAUGAAACAAGAUAGGCUUUCCCACCUUUAUUUUGGGCAUUUUUUCCCUCUUUUUGGACCUGAUGGUAGCAUUCUCAUCUUAUCCAAUUUGAUCCACAUAUUCCCUUACUCAUCUAUCUGAACAUCAAUAAAUUUAUUGCCAAAACUUUAGUCUUAAAAA